AACGUAGGAGACAAACGUUAUCCGGAGUUACUGGGCGUAAAGGGCGUGCAGGUGGUCUGUUAAGUCUGGCGUGAAAGCUCCUGGCUAAACCGGGAGAGGUCGUUGGAUACUGGCGGACUAGAGGACGGUAGAGGCGUGUGGAAUUCCGGGUGUAGUGGUGAAAUGCGUAGAGAUCCGGAGGAACACCGAUGGCGAAGGCAGAUCUCUGGGCCGUAACUGACGCUGAGGAGCGAAAGCUAGGGGAGCAAACAGGG
rnacentral:rRNA from 1 species